rnacentral:rRNA from 1 species
AGUGAACGCUGGCGGUAGGCCUAACACAUGCAAGUCGAACGGCAGCACAGUAAGAGCUUGCUCUUACGGGUGGCGAGUGGAGGACGGGUGAGGAAUACAUCGGAAUCUACUUUUUCGUGGGGGAUAACGUAGGGAAACUUACGCUAAUACCGCAUACGACCUACGGGAGAAAGCAGGGGAUCUUCGGACCUUGCGCGAUUGAAUGAGACGAUGUCGGAUUAGCUAGUUGGCGGGGUAAAGGCCCACCAAGGCGACGAUCCGUAGCUGGUCUGAGAGGAUGAUCUGCCACACUGGAACUCAGACACGGUCCAGACUCCUACGGGAGGCAGCAGUGGGGAAUAUUGGACAAUGGGCGCAAGCCUGAUCCAGCCAUACCGCGUGGGUGAAGAAGGCCUUCGGGUUGUAAAGCCCUUUUGUUGGGAAAGAAAAGCAGCAGGUUAAUACCCCGCUGUUCUGACGGUACCCAAAGAAUAAGCACCGGCUAACUUCGUG